rnacentral:piRNA from 1 species
UAAGUUAUUGGUGGAACCUGUAGGUUGGC